rnacentral:misc_RNA from 1 species
CAGAGUUGCAAGACUCCCUAAACCAUUGUGAACCUACCUUCUACCGUUGCUUCGGCGGGCGGGCCCAGCGCCCCCCCGGCCCCCCGCGGGCGCUCGCCGGAGGAUACCCAAACUCUUUGACAUUAGUGGCCUCUCUGAGUAUUCUUUACUGAAUAAGUCA